rnacentral:rRNA from 1 species
UGAGGAAUAUUGGUCAAUGGACGAAAGUCUGAACCAGCCAUGCCGCGUGAAGGAUGAAGGCGUUCUGCGUUGUAAACUUCUUUUAUAAGGGAAGAAAACUGGGUAUUCUUACUCAACCGACGGUACCUUAUGAAUAAGCACCGGCUAACUCCGUGCCAGCAGCCGCGGUAAUACGGAGGGUGCAAGCGUUAUCCGGAUUCACUGGGUUUAAAGGGUGUGUAGGCGGACUUUUAAGUCAGUGGUGAAAUCUCCAGGCUCAACCUGGAAACUGCCAUUGAUACUAUUAGUCUUGAAUUCUGUUGAGGUGGGCGGAAUACAUCAUGUAGCGGUGAAAUGCUUAGAUAUGAUGUAGAACACCGAUUGCGAAGGCAGCUCACUAAGCAGCGAUUGACGCUGAGGCACGAAAGCGUGGGGAUCAAACAGG